UCUAAACCCCCAUUAUAAGGUACCCUGGUCAACAACAUUUAGAUUAAAUACACCAAGUUUGAGAGUCAUUCAAUAAAAAACCUGAUGGCAAGUAACUAAUGAUGCAAUUGGUUCAACUUAAAGCUCCCUAGUACCUCAAAUCUGCCCAUUUGGAUCCCAGCCCUAUUUGCAGAACCAUCAAUUGUAAAUAGGCCAAACGUCAUAGCAAUAAUGGGUGUUUUUAACGAGCUCAGUCAAUGCAAGUUCAAAACCUAGCAUCUCCUAAAUAAACAAGAUUAGUAAGUUUAAGAAUAACCAGGAUGACAGACAAAACUCAAUAAGGACCAGCAAAAAAGUAUGCACUGCAUGAAAAUAGAUGCAUCUACCCAAGAAACCUCAUGAAUAUUGCCUAAACUUACUUCCAAGUAACCCGAGCACAGUAUUUAAAGACGCAGAUGAAAUGAGCUUUCAAUUGACAAUGGCUGCAUGAAGGGGAGGGCAUAACCUAGAUGUCCUUAUGCAUCCUACAUCAUCCUACAUAUAAAAUGUAAUCCUUAUAAAGAUUACACCUGUAUGUAAGGAUUACAUUUUAUAUGUAG
rnacentral:misc_RNA from 1 species